AGUGAACGCUGGCGGUAUGCCUAACACAUGCAAGUCGAACGGCAGCACAGUAAGAGCUUGCUCUUACGGGUGGCGAGUGGCGGACGGGUGAGGAAUACAUCGGAAUCUACUUUUUCGUGGGGGAUAACGUAGGGAAACUUACGCUAAUACCGCAUACGACCUACGGGUGAAAGCAGGGGAUCUUCGGACCUUGCGCGAUUGAAUGAGCCGAUGUCGGAUUAGUUAGUUGGCGGGGUAAAGGCCCACCAAGGCGACGAUCCGUAGCUGGUCUGAGAGGAUGAUCAGCCACACUGGAACUGAGACACGGUCCAGACUCCUACAGGAGGCCGCAGCGGGGAAUAUUGGACAAUGGGCACAAGCCUGAUCCAGCCAUACCGCGUGGGUGAAGAAGGCCUUCGGGUUGUAGAGCCCUUUUGUUGGGAAAGAAAAGCAGCAGGUUAAUACCCCGCUGUUCUGACGGUACCCAAAGAAUAAGCACCGGCUAACUUCGUG
rnacentral:rRNA from 1 species